GACGAACGCUGGCGGCGUGCCUAAUACACGCAAGUUGAGCGCUGAAGGUUGGUACUUGUACCAACUGGAUGAGCAGCGAACGGGUGAGUAACGCGUGGGGAAUCUGCCUUUGAGCGGGGGACAACAUUUGGAAACGAGUGCUAAUACCGCAUAAAAACUUUAAACACAAGUUUUAAGUUUGAAAGAUGCAAUUGCAUCACUCAAAGAUGAUCCCGCGUUGUAUUAGCUAGUUGGUGAGGUAAAGGCUCACCAAGGCGAUGAUACAUAGCCGACCUGAGAGGGUGAUCGGCCACAUUGGGACUGAGACACGGCCCAAACUCCUACGGGAGGCAGCAGUAGGGAAUCUUCGGCAAUGGACGAAAGUCUGACCGAGCAACGCCGCGUGAGUGAAGAAGGUUUUCGGAUCGUAAAACUCUGUUGGUAGAGAAGAACGUUGGUGAGAGUGGAAAGCUCAUCAAGUGACGGUAACUACCCAGAAAGGGACGGCUAACUACGUG
rnacentral:rRNA from 1 species